rnacentral:rRNA from 1 species
CUGCUGCCUCCCGUAGGAGUUUGGGCCGUGUCUCAGUCCCAAUGUGGCCGGUCACCCUCUCAGGUCGGCUACUGAUCGUCGCUUUGGUGGGCCGUUACCCCGCCAACUGGCUAAUCAGACGCGGGCCCAUCCCAUACUACCGGAGUUUUUCACACCGAGCCAUGCGGCCCUGUGCGCUUAUGCGGUGUUAGCAGUCAUUUCUAACUGUUAUCCCCCUGUAUGGGGCAGGUUGCCCACGCGUUACUCACCCGUCCGCCA